GACGAACGCUGGCGGCGUGCUUAACACAUGCAAGUCGAACGGAGUGGCGAACGGGUGAGUAACACGUGUGUGACCUGCCCUGCACUUCGGGAUAAGCCUGGGAAACUGGGUCUCAUAUCGGAUAGUGUGGGAUGGGGCCGCGGCCUAUCAGCUUGUUGGUGGGGUAAUGGACUACCAAGGCGUCGACGGGUAGCCGGCCUGUGAGGGUGGACGGGCACAGUGGGACUGAGACACGGGACAGAGUCCGACGGUAGGCAGCAGGGGGGAAUAUUGCACAAUGGGCGGAAGCAUGAUGCAGCGACGCCGCGUGGGGGAUGACGGCUGUCGGGUUGGAAACUCCUUUCACCAUCGACGCGGUAGAUGGAGAAGAAGCACCGGCUAACUACGUGCCAGCAGCCGCGGUAAUUC
rnacentral:rRNA from 1 species